rnacentral:rRNA from 1 species
AGUGAACGCUGGCGGUAGGCCUAACACAUGCAAGUCGAACGGCAGCACAGUAAGAGCUUGCUCUUACGGGUGGCGAGUGGCGGACGGGUGAGGAAUACAUCGGAAUCUACUUUUUCGUGGGGGAUAACGUAGGGAAACUUACGCUAAUACCUCAUACGACCUACGGGUGAAAGCAGGGGAUCUUCGGACCUUGCGCGAUUGAAUGAGCCGAUGUCGGAUUAGCUAGUUGGCGGGGUAAAGGCCCACCAAGGCGACGAUCCGUAGCUGGUCUGAGAGGAUGAUCAGCCACACUGGAACUGAGACACGGUCCAGACUCCUACGGGAGGCAGCAGUGGGGAAUAUUGGACAAUGGGCGCAAGCCUGAUCCAGCCAUACCGCGUGGGUGAAGAAGGCCUUCGGGUUGUAAAGCCCUUUUGUUGGGAAAGAAAAGCAGCAGGUUAAUACCCCGCUGUCCUGACGGUACCCAAAGAAUAAGCACCGGCUAACUUCGUG